UGUUUUAUGUGCGCGUUUUUUUUUUCUCCGAGAUGCGACAGCUGGCGACUCUGUUAGGGAACCCCUAACCAAGUCAAUCCUAGAUUUUGUUUGUUUUAUUUUCAUUGGGUGUUUAUUUCUUUAUGUUUUACUUGCUUAUUGCAUUCAUUUCAUUUUAUUGCCUUCCAUAUUCUGGAUAUUGUUGUUGUGCCGGUUGUUGGAUCUUCU
rnacentral:lncRNA from 1 species